rnacentral:rRNA from 1 species
GGGGGGGGCAAGCGUUGUUCGGAAUUACUGGGCGUAAAGGGCUCGUAGGCGGCCAACUAAGUCGGACGUGAAAUCCCCAGGCUCAACCUGGGAACUGCGUCUGAUACUGGAUGGCUUGAAUCCGGGAGAGGGAUGCAGAAUUCCAGGUGUAGCGGUGAAAUGCGUAGAUAUCUGGAGGAAUACCGGUGGCGAAGGCGGCAUCCUGGACCGGCAUUGACGCUGAGGAGCGAAAGCCAGGGGAGCAAACGGGAUUAGAUACCCCGGUAGUCCUGGCCCUAAACGAUGAAUGCUUGGUGUAACGGGUAUCGAUCCCUGUUGUGCCGAAGCUAACGCAUUAAGCAUUCCGCCUGGGGAGUACGGUCGCAAGGCUG